rnacentral:sRNA from 1 species
AGAGCUGAUAUAAGUGCUCGGGUGUGUA